ensembl:lncRNA
CAGAUUGUAUGCAACUUUUUGUGAAAUCAUGGAGAUCUCUUCAUUGAAGUUCAGUGGAAGCAGGCUUGAUUCUAAUGGAGAUAAUGGCCACAAAAAAAGUUGUUUUCGUGGGGCACCAUGGCAAGCAUCUGCAGGAGGCAGACCAGUAGCAGCAGGGGAAAAUUCUCCUUCCCAUGACCUCCACCUUCUCAAGACUGACUUGAUCAUCUCCAUUCAAGAGGAUGAAGAGGAGAAUUUGCUGACGCAUUUGGCUCUCCCCACAAUCCAUGAGAUGUUGAAAGCUUCUGGAUGACAGAGCAGGAGAGGCCCUUAUGCUGUAAGGAAUCAGUGAUCACAAGCUCACUUCAUCAGCACCAGAACAACCAAACACUUGUCUUAUUGCUUCUAUCUGACCCCACUCUGCCUUUAAAAGUCAACAAACCAGCAAGCUUCUGUGACACCGCCAGUGCUGCUACUGGGACUGACUGUGGAAAAACAGCUGGGGACCCAACGUGUCCUUUAGACAGAGAUGAAAUGCAGUUAAUCCUGGUUAUAUCAAAGGGAGCGGAAAUGAAAAGUAAAUUCCCACUUGCAAAGAUUUUUUUUCUCCCCUGUGCAUUUUCCCCACUCUGUUUUUCCAUACAAGAACUUUCUUAUCCAGGCAGGUUGGAAGAUAUUUGUAGUCCUGAUUGUUUAAAUAUUAAUCUGUACUUUAAGAUUCAUUUGUAUGCGUGAAAGAGAGAGACAAGUGCAGUGGAAACCCCACAAAUGUACUCUGUAUCCACUGGAUGGAGCGUGCAGUGAUGUUAGGCAAACCCAGAGAUGUUAUAUGCUGUGACAGGACCACUCUAUUAUGGGUUUCAGAAGUACUAACCUGCAAUAUUAGAUGGAUGUGUGGGGCCUGAGUUUCCCUAAAAUCCAUUCAUUACUGUUCCUAACUGGGAGAAAUUCCCCUCUUGAGCUGAAAGCCUUUGGUGUAGUGGUAUCCGUGCAUAAGGGAUGCUGUUCUGUCUGUAAUGACAGAAGGCAGAGGGUGGGCUCCUGGGGUGCUGACUCUGGGCUGGGGAAAAAAAAUAUGCCUUGGUAGACUUGACUCUGCGAGCAAAAUGUGUGAGUUAGGCUCCAUGUAAAUCCAGAGUAAAACUGCUCUUUCCCUCUCCAAAUAGCCUUCCACAUAGCUGGGUAUUAUUUUGAAGCAAUUUUGCUCUCUGAUGAUUCAAGGAGGGAAGCUGCUGAAACAAAACAGAAGCGAAUUGCAGAAUAGUUAAUAUUGCAGAGCAGUAGAGGAGGCACGCAUCUUCGUUAGAUUUUGGGUCUCAGUUCUUGCUCGAGGCAGUUAACCCUCAUCCAGCCAGGGAGGAGAGCUGUGGUGUCUGUGAACUAGCUGUUCACUCAUGCUAUGACACUGCAUGUGGAAGACACGUAACAAAACUCUAAAUGAUCUGGUGAACACAUUUGAAUAAUGUAUAAGUAAGAGAGAGAGAGGACAAGUUACGUAGAGGAAAAAAUGGGUGCAAUUUUUCACUGCCCGUUUUUCAUCUUCCCUUUAUUGGCAUUUCCCACUGAGGCUGGAAGAAACAAUCCCUGCACCUGAAGUUGGGGGGUGCUGUGGGAGCUGUCAUUUUGGGCACAGGGAGCUGACCUAAGCAUUGGGGCUGGUGCUGCAGGAGGCAAUGGAGCUGCUCUGAAGUGUUGUGCGAGGAAGUUUUCAUUGCACCUGCCCACGGUCUGGUCUGCUCAGCUCCAUCCCACAGAAACCUCACAUUUCCACGCAUAGUUUCUGUGGGCGUGCGGUCCUUCUAGGUAGACGUGAAUGGUGGAGGGAAUGUGAAUUUCCUCAGAGAGCAGUGAGUUAAUUAAUGGCUCCAAAGCACCUUACUUUCUUAAAUCAUGGCUAUAUUAGAAAUCACUUCCGAGCCGUGACUGAAGGUAGUAUCAAUGUGCCAUGGACCUUCUAUAUAUGCGCGGUUUUCAUCAUCUUUGGUGAACAUCCUCGGCUGAAAUGGAAAUUCAGACCUUUAAAAGAAGUGAGCACAGAAACCACGCUCCUGAAGUGUUUGAAAUAAACCCUGCAGCUACUGCA